rnacentral:misc_RNA from 1 species
GGAAGUAAUAGUCGUAACAAGGUCUCCGUAGGUGAACCUGCGGAGGGAUCAUUACAGAGUUCAUGCCCUACCGGGUAGAUCUCCCACCCUAUGUUAUUAUUACUUUGUUGCUUUGGCGGGCCGUUAGGCUCCGGCCCGACUACCGGCCCCGGCUGGUAAGCGCCCGCCAGAGGACCCAAAACCCUGAAUAUUAGUGUCGUCUGAGUACUAUAUAAUAGUUAAAACUUUCAACAACGGAUCUCUUGGUUCUG